rnacentral:rRNA from 1 species
UACGAAGGGUGCAAACGUUGCUCGGAAUUAUUGGGCGUAAAGCGCACGUAGGCGGCUUAGCAAGUCGGAUGUGAAAUCCCUCGGCUCAACCAAGGAAGUGCAUCCGAAACUGCUGAGCUUGAGUACGAAAGAGGGUCGCGGAAUUCCCGGUGUAGAGGUGAAAUUCGUAGAUAUCGGGAGGAACACCGGUGGCGAAGGCGGCGACCUGGGUAGAUACUGACGCUGAGGUGCGAAAGCGUGGGGAGCAAACAGG